rnacentral:rRNA from 1 species
GAUGAACGCUGGCGGCGUGCCUAAUACAUGCAAGUCGAGCGAACAGACGAGGAGCUUGCUCCUCUGACGUUAGCGGCGGACGGGUGAGUAACACGUGGAUAACCUACCUAUAGGACUGGGAUAACUUCGGGAAACCGGAGCUAAUACCGGAUAAUAUAUUGAACCGCAUGGUUCAAUAGUGAAAGACGGUUUUGCUGUCACUUAUAGAUGGAUCCGCGCCGCAUUAGCUAGUUGGUAAGGUAACGGCUUACCAAGGCAACGAUGCGUAGCCGACCUGAGAGGGUGAUCGGCCACACUGGAACUGAGACACGGUCCAGACUCCUACGGGAGGCAGCAGUAGGGAAUCUUCCGCAAUGGGCGAAAGCCUGACGGAGCAACGCCGCGUGAGUGAUGAAGGUCUUCGGAUCGUAAAACUCUGUUAUUAGGGAAGAACAAAUGUGUAAGUAACUAUGCACGUCUUGACGGUACCUAAUCAGAAAGCCACGGCUAACUACGUA